rnacentral:snoRNA from 1 species
CCGAUGGAUGAUGAAGAUCUUGUUGCAUACAUCGUUAAUGGUUUAUAUGAGGACUAUAAUCCUAUUGUUUCUGCUCUUGUUAGUAGGAUAGAACCUAUUACAGUCUCUGAAUUGCACUCGCAGCCGAUGAACUUCGAGA